UAGGGAAUCUUCCACAAUGGACGCAAGUCUGAUGGAGCAACGCCGCGUGAGUGAAGAAGGUUUUCGGACCGUAAAGCUCUGUUGUUGGUGAAGAAGGAUAGAGGUAGUAACUGGCCUUUAUUUGACGGUAAUCAACCAGAAAGUCACGGCUAACUACGUGCCAGCAGCCGCGGUAAUACGUAGGUGGCAAGCGUUGUCCGGAUUUAUUGGGCGUAAAGCGAGCGCAGGCGGAAGAAUAAGUCUGAUGUGAAAGCCCUCGGCUUAACCGAGGAAUUGCAUCGGAAACUGUUUUCUUGAGUGCAGAAGAGGAGAGUAGAACUCCAUGUGUAGCGGUGGAAUGCGUAGAUAUAUGGAAGAAUACCAGUGGCGAAGGCGGCUCUCUGGUCUGCAACUGACGCUGAGGCUCGAAAGCAUGGUAGCGAACAGGAUUAGAUACCCUGGUAGUCCAUGCCGUAAACGAUGAGUGCUAAGUGUUGGGAGGCUUCCGCCUCUCAGUGCUGCAGCUAACGCAUUAAGCACUCCGCCUGGGGGAGUACGACCGCAAGGUUGAA
rnacentral:rRNA from 1 species